GCCGGACUGGCGGAAUUGGCAGACGCCCGGGACUUAAAAUCCCGUGAGAAUCAAAUCUCGUACCGGUUCGAGCCCGGUGUCCGGCACCA
rnacentral:tRNA from 1 species